UAGGGAAUCUUCCACAAUGGACGAAAGUCUGAUGGAGCAACGCCGCGUGAGUGAAGAAGGUUUCGGCUCGUAAAACUCUGUUGUUAAAGAAGAACAUAUCUGAGAGUAACUGUUCAGGUAUUGACGGUAUUUAACCAGAAAGCCACGGCUAACUACGUGCCAG
rnacentral:rRNA from 1 species